GAUGAACGCUAGCGGCAGGCCUAAUACAUGCAAGACUAGGGGGCAGCAAUGUCACCGUCGCACGGGUGCGUAACGCGUAUGCAACCUACCUAUCACAGGGGGAUAGCCUUUGGAAACAGGGAUUAAUACCGCAUAAAGCAGGGGCUCCGCAUGGAGAUAUUGCUAAAGAUUUAUCGGUGAUAGAUGGGCAUGCGUCUGAUUAGUUAGAUGGUGGGGUAACGGCCUACCAUGACGAUGAUCAGUAGGGGGCGUCAGAGCGUGGUCCCCCACACUGGCACUGAGAUACGGGCCAGACUCCUACGGGAGGCAGCAGUAGGGAAUAUUGGGCAAUGGAUGCAAGUCUGACCCAGCCAUGCCGCGUGCAGGAAGAAGGUCCUCUGGAUUGUAAACUGCUUUUUUGGGGGAAGAAGAGACACCUUGCGAGGUGUUGUGACGGUACCCUAAGAAUAAGCCACGGCUAACUACGUGCCAGCCGCCGCUGUAAUAC
rnacentral:rRNA from 1 species